GGGGAUGUAGCUCAGUGGUAGAGCGCUCGCUUUGCAUGUGAGAGGCCCCGGGUUCAAACGCCGGCAUCUCCA
rnacentral:tRNA from 1 species